rnacentral:rRNA from 1 species
UAGGGAAUCUUCGGCAAUGGGGGCAACCCUGACCGAGCAACGCCGCGUGAGUGAAGAAGGUUUUCGGAUCGUAAAGCUCUGUUGUAAGUCAAGAACGAGUGUGAGAGUGGAAAGUUCACACUGUGACGGUAGCUUACCAGAAAGGGACGGCUAACUACGUGCCAGCAGCCGCGGUAAUACGUAGGUCCCGAGCGUUGUCCGGAUUUAUUGGGCGUAAAGCGAGCGCAGGCGGUUUGAUAAGUCUGAAGUUAAAGGCUGUGGCUCAACCAUAGUUCGCUUUGGAAACUGUCAAACUUGAGUGCAGAAGGGGAGAGUGGAAUUCCAUGUGUAGCGGUGAAAUGCGUAGAUAUAUGGAGGAACACCGGUGGCGAAAGCGGCUCUCUGGUCUGUAACUGACGCUGAGGCUCGAAAGCGUGGGGAGCGAACAGGAUUAGAUACCCUGGUAGUCCACGCCGUNNCGAUGAGUGUUAGGUGUUGGAUCCUUUCCGGGAUUCAGUGCCGCAGCUAANGCANUAANCACUCCGCCUGGGGAGUACNACCGCAAGGUU